CGCGUAGGCGGCCACCGCAAGUCGGUUGUGAAAUCUCCGGGCUUAACCCGGAAAGGUCAAUCGAUACUGCGGGGCUAGAGCGCAGAAGGGGCAACUGGAAUUCUCGGUGUAGCGGUGAAAUGCGUAGAUAUCGAGAGGAACACCUGCGGCGAAGACGGGUUGCUGGGCUGACACUGACGCUGAAGCGCGAAAGCUAGGGGAGCGAACG
rnacentral:rRNA from 1 species